rnacentral:lncRNA from 1 species
GUGGAUUCCGCGUAAAUAAAAAAUUCCACAAACAUAAAAGCGAUCCCCAUCGUUGUGAGGGUCAAUCACCAUCAACCAUUUUUGGUUCUUUAACAGGAUUGGAAACAAGUAUACCUAACAGCAUAUUUCACGGACUAGUCAUCUAUCAAUCAAUACAAAUGAAAGCUUAGUAAAGAUAUUUUAGCAACUGCAUUAUUGAGACCACUACUUAAUAAUCACCUUUUGGAAAAAAAAAAAAUGAUUAUUUCCAUUUCCAGUAUCUAACAUAAUUCGAACAGAUUCUGUCAUGAAAUAAUUGCCCGAAAAUCAUAUACUAGUCAAUGUAUGUAUUCUCCGUUGAUUCGACGGUACCGAGAUCACGAUGACGUUAAAUCACAGCCGGCCGUCCAUCACUUCUCACUCUCCUUUUCGAUAUUUUCCUUCACUCUCCCCGUCCUGAGUUAAUCUAACCGGCAAAUCGUCGUUUAUGGAAUCUCGGACUGAGUCGACUAGGAUCGUCACGCGAAUCUUACUCAGCAAUAUUACGUGUAGAUACCAGUAGCUCAAAGGAUACCGAUGAGGGAGAGUCUUUUCAGCCGUCGGACGAUAAGGCAGGGUGCGAUCUCGUCUGUUGGAUCUGUGAAGAUCAAGUUAUUGCUCGCCUUUAUUAUUUUAUUCACUCUAAUUGCGCUCGUCGGUCGUACGCCAUCGUUUAAGGGAUGGAGACACCACGAUGCUUCUCUCCAUCGAUCCUCUCUUCCCAGGUCGGUAUCAAUAGGAAUAUAAUAUAUUCAAUCGCGUUAAUUAUGUUAUUUACGGAAGCGUUUUUGUUUUAUUAAGUUCGUUAAGUAGCUUGCAUUUAUGGUAAUUAAUUAUUAAAUAAGUUAUUUAAUUUUUGGGUAACAUUUUUUGUCCGGACAUAGUUAAUAAUUAUCCUUACAUAAUUAAUGCUUAAUAUUUAUCAGGAUAGUUAUACUCCUAUUAUUAAUUGC